UUGUUGUUCUUCUUUUUGGAUUUGUUGAUUUUCAUUAUGGAGAGAUUGUGGUUGUGAUUGUUCGCUAACAGGAUUCUCUUUGUGGUGCUGCGUCGCGGAGGUGGAAAAGAGGAGGCGCGUGAGUGAGUUGGAAAGUGAAGGAGUGAGGUGUUGGGAUCCGGUGCGGAGGAGAGUAGGGUUGGAUGCGGUGGUGGAGAGUAAACGAGAGAAAGAGGUUGAUGUCAUUGUUAGGCAAAUUUGACGAGAAACCAUAAAAC
rnacentral:lncRNA from 1 species